ACUACAGCACAGAGCCAUCCAAGGCGGAAGCCAUGGGACAAACCGGGAACAYGGGAGUGCAAGAGAGCGGAGAGACCACUUGGGAGCUGAGUGGAGAGUCAAGCACCGACCCUACCCUCGACCCAAGUGUGGAGCCUAGCACAGAACCAACCCCGGUGUCAACCACCGGAUCUGAAUGAAUUGCAACAUCAAAUCCUGAUGGAAAAGCAAAAGCCACAUUCACCUGCUGAGCUGACUUCAUUGCAUGUGAACACAAAAUCAGUGCUUGCAGAACUGGAUAGCAGGGCAGCCUAAGACUACAGCUUGUGGGAACAGAGUAACCAUGGCCUUCAGUCCGUGAACUUGGUUUCAUUCUUGCUUACUUCAACAGCAACAGUUUAGUUCCAUCACAGGUAACCUG